GAGGAAGGCGGGCGGUGUGCUUAACACAUGCAAGUCGAACGGUAAGGCCCUUUCGGGGGUACACGAGUGGCGAACGGGUGAGUAACACGUGAGUAACCUGCCCUCAUCUCUGGGAUAACAGUCGGAAACGGUUGCUAAUACUGGAUAUGAGCUUGCAAGGCAUCUUGUGGGUUGGAAAGAUUUUUUUUGGUUGGGGAUGGACUCGCGGCCUAUCAGCUUGUUGGUGAGGUAGUGGCUCACCAAGGCUUCGACGGGUAGCCGGCCUGAGAGGGCGACCGGCCACAUUGGGCCUGAGAUACGGCCCAAACUCCUACGGGAGGCAGCAGUGGGGAAUAUUGCACAAUGGACGGAAGUCUGAUGCAGCAACGCCGCGUGCGGGAUGACGGCCUUCGGGUUGUAAACCGCUUUCAAUUGUGACGAAGCUUUUUUGUGACGGUAGCAGUAGAAGAAGCACCGGCUAACUACGUG
rnacentral:rRNA from 1 species